rnacentral:rRNA from 1 species
ACUCCUACGGGAGGCAGCAGUGGGAAUAUUGCACAAUGGGCGCAAGCCUGAUGCAGCGACGCCGCGUGGGGGAUGAAGGCCUUCGGGUUGUAAACCCCUUUCAGCAGGGAAGAAGCGCAAGUGACGGUACCUGCAGAAGAAGCGCCGGCUAACUACGUGCCAGCAGCCGCGGUAAUACGUAGGGCGCAAGCGUUAUCCGGAAUUAUUGGGCGUAAAGAGCUCGUAGGCGGUUUGUCGCGUCUGCUGUGAAAUCCCGAGGCUCAACCUCGGGCCUGCAGUGGGUACGGGCANACUAGAGUGUGGUAGGGGAGACUGGAAUUCCUGGUGUAGCGGUGGAAUGCGCAGAUAUCAGGAGGAACACCGAUGGCGAAGGCAGGUCUCUGGGCCACAACUGACGCUGAGGAGCGAAAGCGUGGGGAGCGAACAGGAUUAGAUACCCUGGUAGGCUCUGC